AGUGAACGCUGGCGGUAGGCCUAACACAUGCAAGUCGAACGGCAGCACAGUAAGAGCUUGCUCUUACGGGUGGCGAGUGGCGGACGGGUGAGGAAUACAUCGGAAUCUACUUUUUCGUGGGGGAUAACGUAGGGAAACUUACGCUAAUACCGCAUACGACCUACGGGUGAAAGCAGGGGAUCUUCGGACCUUGCGCGAUUGAAUGAGCCGAUGUCGGAUUAGCUAGUUGGCGGGGUAAAGGCCCACCAAGGCGACGAACCGUAGCUGGUCUGAGAGGAUGAUCAGCCACACUGGAACUGAGACACGGUCCAGACUCCUUCGGGAGGCAGCAGUGGGGAAUAUUGGACAAUGGGCGCAAGCCUGAUCCAGCCAUACCGCGUGGGUGAAGAAGGCCUUCGGGUUGUAAAGCCCUUUUGUUGGGAAAGAAAAGCAGCAGGUUAAUACCCCGCUGUUCUGACGGUACCCAAAGAAUAAGCACCGGCUAACUUCGUG
rnacentral:rRNA from 1 species